ensembl:lncRNA
UAAUGGGUGCUAAUAGGGGCUAAUGAGGGCUAAUGGGAUCAUUGGUGACUAAUAGAGGCUAAUGAGGACUAAUGGGGUCACUGGGGGCUAAUGAGUGCUAAUAUGGGCUAAUGAGGCUUAAUGGGGGCUAAUGGGAUCAUUGGUGGCUAAUAGGGGCUAAUGAGGACUAAUGGGGUCACUGGGGGCUAAUGAGUGCUAAUAUGGGCUAAUGAGGCUUAAUGGGGUCAGUGGGGGCUAAUGGGUGCUAAUAAAGGCUAAUGAGGACUAAUGGGGUUAAUGGGUGCUAAUAGGGGCUAAUGGGGUCAGUGGGGGCUAAUGGGUGCUAAUAAGGGCUAAUGAGAGCUAAUGGAACCCAUGGGGGCUAAUGGGUGCUAAUAGGGGAUAAUGAGGGCUAAUGGGAUCAUUGGUGGCUAAUAGGGGCUAAUGAGGACUAAUGGGGUCAAUGGGGGCUAAUGAGUGCUAAUAUGGGGUAAUGAGGCUUAAUG